AGCGGGGUGAGUGUUGGUAUCUCAGGAAGGUCUCAUAAGCCUUUCGCCGUCGGUUCGAUUCCGUCCCCCGCAA
rnacentral:tRNA from 1 species